CCCAAUCACUCUCACUUAACUUCUUCACUCACCUUGUUCUCUCACAAAACCCUAAUUCUCCUUCACUCUCAUAUGUCCACGGCGUAGUUCAAUUCCCCUCGCUCAUAGAAUGUCGCUCCACGGUAACGACCGUCGCGACGAGCCUUCUAUGGGAAGCGCCGGCGCAAACGGCACCGUGGCGGCGGCGAGCCUGAGGCUGCGGCUGAACCCUAACAAGGAGCACAAGCCUGAAGGUUACGAGGACAUGGAACUGGAUUUCAGCCCUAACAUUUUCAGCUCCUUGGAGAGGUACCUCCCUCCGAGCAUGCUCAAUGUGGCACGAGUCGACAAGGCCAAAUUCAUGCGCGAUAUUCUCCUCAAGUAUCUCCCCCUCGGAGAACGCAACAGGGCUCAAAAGCAUAAAGAAUACAGACAGAAGAUAAUAGCAAAUUACCAGCCUCUACAUCGAGAGUUGUACUCUGUGAAUCCUGCUACAUUCUUUGUCCCCUCAUUUCUGAAAGCAAUUAAUGAUAAUACAGAGCAAAGCUUUAGAAGUAUCAUGUCUGAGCCCGCUCCAGGAAUUUUUGUAUUUGACAUAUUUCAGCCUGACUUUUGCGAGUUAUUGCUAUCUGAGAUUGAAAAUUUUGAGAAGUGGGUGACUGAAACAAAAUUUCGGAUCAUGCGUCCCAAUACAAUGAAUAAAUAUGGUGCUGUACUUGAUGACUUUGGGCUUGAAACAAUGCUUGACAAGCUUAUGGAAGGAUUUAUACGUCCCUUAUCUAAAGUCUUCUUUGCAGAAGUUGGUGGGUCAACCCUGGAUUCCCAUCAUGGUUUUGUUGUAGAGUAUGGUAAAGAUAGAGAUGUUGACUUGGGUUUCCAUGUGGAUGACUCAGAAGUAACCUUAAAUGUUUGCUUGGGUAAGCAAUUUUCUGGAGGGGAAUUGUUUUUUCGGGGCGUACGAUGUGAGAAACAUGUAAAUACUGGAAGUCAUUCAGAGGAGAUCUUUGAUUAUUGUCAUGUCCCUGGACGAGCUGUGCUUCAUCGGGGUCGCCAUCGCCAUGGUGCUAGAGCUACAACAUCUGGUCAUCGGGUCAACCUGCUUCUGUGGUGCAGAAGUUCUGUCUUUAGAGAGAUGAAACGGUACCAAAAAGAUUUCUCCGGCUGGUGUGGCGAGUGCAAUCGCGAGAAAAAGGAAAGGCAACGCACCACAAUUGCUGCUACCAGAUUGGAGUUGUUCAAGAAGGAAGAAUCCACUGCAUAAUCUGUUUUUGCUCAGUGGAUGAUUGUAAAAUCCGAUGUAUCUGCAAUCAUUUGUCAACAAGUAGCCUAUGAUUCCUGGUCCAGGUGUCCGUACAAGUUAUAUGCUGUAUUAAGAUAUUUUUCUUUGAAUAAGCUUGGUUAUGCCUAUUUAUUGUCUUUGAAGAAGGGGGGAGGUGGUUGUGUUAUGUAGGCUGGUUAAAUGCUCAUAUAGGCCAUUCCCCCCCCCCCAUUUUGUUUAUAAAACGGCAUAAUUAUGUCUAGAAAUGUAGAUUUAGACUGUAAUUAAUAUCUGCUGAAAUCUUUAGGUUCAUUGGCUAUUGUAGCA